CCCCUUUUUUUUUUCUUCCGACAGGCAUGGAAAAUUACUUCACCCGUACUGUUUUAAUCGACAUAUGUAAUGGGCGGCGUCGAUUAAAUAUGAACCGAGGUAGUAGAAUGAACUUUUGCAAAUAUAACUUUCUAGAAUAAACUUCAUGGCUAUGUUAAUUGACCAGAUUAUUUUAUAUUCUUUUGUGUUAUAUGUCUUCAACAGUAGGAAAAAUACGGCCAGGAAUCAAAAUAGUCAUUCUACUACUUGGUUUUGCAUUUUAGUAGACGGUCUUGAUGAAAGAUAAUCCAUAGAAAAAGGAAGAAAAGGUGUCAACGGUUCUUGUGAGCACUACAAGUUCUCAGGAGUCAGUUUGUUCUGGGACCAGGAGUGCCAUGUCGGUUUUGUGUUGAUGUUUGUACUAUGCCGGUUUUGCAUGUUCGUGAGCACUACAAAGUACACAAGCAUGAAAUACUUCUAGUAUACCGGAAAAGGAACACUUACAAUUAAAAUAAUUCGGUUCUUCUCAUACGAAAUCCAUCGUUUUUUUCUCAUAUUUGGUUAGAGCAAGAGAUACAGCGAUGAUUACCUGUUCUUGUGUUGGGUUUGUUGGAGUAUGUGAGAAGAUAACUAAGAAAAGAUAAAAAAAGAUAUUAUCUUGUUUCUUCUAGCUGAUGUAGACCUAUUUUUAAAUUCUAGCUGAUGCAGACCUUGUUUCUAACAAGAAACUUCAUGGCUAUGUGCCUUAUUCCUUAAUGUCAUAUGGCUUCAACGUUAGUAGGUACAGUAGUACUCCCUUCGUUCCACGAAAUAUGUUGAAGAUUUGUGUAAAUUCGGAUGCAUCUAGACACUAAAAAGUACCUAUAUACAUCUAAAUUUUGACAAAUCUCAGAUAUGUUCCAUGGGAUGGAGGGAGUAAAAUAUAUGUGCAGGAACCUGAACCUUCACAUUAUUAGCACAUGUUUUGUUCAUCGCUGAAGAUCUCGCAUGUGACCUAUAACCCUGAUGCGUUGGUGGUUUGGGUAUUCCACGUUAAUUUGUGUAAUGUUUCCAGAUGUGAGAUUUACUGAUAUUUAUUAACACAAAUGUUAAACUAUGAACUCCAUGAAAAUGAUUAUUCUCUGAUGGAAUAAAUGACAGAAAUUUGUAAGGUUUCUUAAUAUUGGUGAGAUUCCUUUCUUCUUGGUAGAAGUAGGAGCUCAUCAAUGGUUAUGCUGCAUUAGUUGGUGACUUGGUGUUGACAUUGAAACUUCAUAGUCCUCUAGAAUAAUUUUAGACAUUAGAGCAACCAUAGCAAUGCCGUAAAUUUGGGUAGUUACAACUUAUUUACAGCCUACUCUAAAUUUUGUUACACAGUUUUACAGGCCUUGCACUUCUGCAGAGCGUGUGCAAAGUCAGACGCUCCACAAUCGGGUCUCUAUUUUUUCUGCAUUUCUUAUUUCGCUGAACGCCUUAUGGGUGCUGGGGUCGGUAAGGAUGGACGGCUCAAGAGGUGUGUUCGGCGGUGACAGACGGUGGCGUCACACCGCUCAAGACGGAGGUGAUCGCUUCCACUCGGGGUAGCAGUGGGCAGAGAAGCGACAGAUUUGCCAGACGUAGUUCGCCUGACCGUUUGGGCCCUUCCCAUCGUCUUCUGCACUAAAGCCGACAUGAAGGCUGUGGCUGUGGUGGACCGGCGUCGUGAUGGAAGUAGCCGCCAGGGGUACCUUCCAGUGUAGAGAAUGGGACCCUAUGACCUCUAGGCCAUUGUAGAAGCAUAGUUUGCUCCACCAAACCUUGUUAACAAACAAUUUGAUGCCAAAUUAUGCUUGCCGGAUAAUGAAAUGUGCAUUACCUGCAUAAAACUACAGAUGCGAGGUACAAAAUUAUCAACCUAUGCAUAUUACUGCAGUGCUAAAUGCUCCCUAUUUUCUUUGAUCUGACAUAAGAAUAUCUACUUGUCCAGUGUGGCUCAUAUCGUAUCUUACAUGAAGAGUCCUGGGAUGCCCAUGCCCCUAAACAUGCUAUGACAGAAGAAUACUAGUUUCGUUAGGCAAGAAAGGUCAAGAACAACACAAGCGCUAUAAACUGGACUCUUAAUUAGCUACUAACAUUUAGGUUACUAUGAAAAUAAUUUGGUACUUAUUUUUCUUCAGUUAAGAUAACAUGAUGUUUCACCUACCUACUGUCAUAUUCAUUGUGUGCUCACCUACUCCUAUUUCAAAGGCAAGUGGAUGAAAUAUAUUUAUGCACAUUUCUUCUCACCUAUAUAUAUAUAUAUAUAUAUAUAUAACCACGGUGACAUCUCCUGGCUGGAAAGGGUAAAGAUGAGAGCACAAUGCAAGCUUCACAUCUAGUUUGAAAGUUAUAGCCUAGCAAGAAUUUCCUAUAUUGCACGGAAAGAGAAACGUAAAAAUUGUACAAAUGUUGGGAAUGAGUGGAACUAGAAACAGUCUCUUUGGGUGUGUUUGAAAUCCGUGGCAGGUUUGCAGCUCACUCUUCAUACAAUUAAUUUGUUCAUAUGGAAUCGGAUCUCGCAGGCAAUGGUUUACUUACAGUGCUAUGUGUUGAACAAGUUAAUUUGUACAGAUGAUUUUAGAUGUCGGAGGCAAUGGUUUGUGCUUAUAAUGCUAUGCGUUAAACAUAUACUUCUGAGACAAUAAGCAUAUAAUAGGACUAGAAAUUAAAACCAGUCAUUACCUUCGCUCGGUAAUAUGCUUAUUUAUUUGAAAUUUGUGCCUCAAGUGCUUGCAAUUUUUUUCAUGUAUGAAUCUGUAUGAACCGAAUCUCUAUUUCUAUUGUGUAGGCACAAAUUUUGGGCGUUGGACAUUGAUUCCCUUGAGCAUUCAUACCCUGCUAUGACAAUAUAUAUAUCACAGUAGACAAAAAGAGAUUUGCUGAUAUUACUGAAUGUCUUCUACAUGUUUUAUUCUAGAAUGUAGAUUGUGGUUUUGAAGUGCAUCCAUCUCAAAAGCUAAGAUACACACAACGGUUCUUAGGUGCAGGAAAGCAUUAUUGAAUUAAGACACUGGUAUAGGAAUACUAGUAGAGUUCUACAUUGAAUUUUUAGCUCAUACUUUUCUGUAAAGUAGUGUCAGAAAAUGUGCCUAUCUAAAUUUACUGUCUUUUUCCAUCUUAAUCAUGCUAUUCUUGAGAAUAUAAAUUAUUGUGCACUAGGAGUUUCCGCCCAGCCUAAUUGAGAUGCAAGAAAUUCAUUGGUUUUCUGUUUCAUUUGCACAAGACGAUCUGACCACAUCAAUAUUAUGUGAUUCCAGUUUAAAGGAAGGGCUGCAGGAGCAGGAGUCAAUUCUAUGGUAACGACAGUAAUGUGCCUAUAUCUUUUUCAUGGAUAGAAUAUGAAAAAAUGACUGUUUGAUCUCCAUAUAGUUUUGCUGAAAGGCAAGCGACCAAGUACCUGACUGUUGCUCGGAUGGCUACACCCAAUUGGUUCAUCUCCGUCAGCGCAGCCCCUUUUAGAGGUUAUAUUGAAGCUUGGACAUACCAGAGAAUCAGAGAACCAAGCUGACGGGAUGUAUAUACCAGGAAAUCAAAGAACCAGUCUACAAGCAUCUAUUUUGUCCACGACGAUCACCACACUGGGAAUGUAAAAUAUAAACCAUCCAUCUACCACUGCCACAAGUAUCUAUCACCACAGAUAAUCUAUGUUAGUUUCAUGGAAAAACACUUGGUUAGUAUAGAUCAUUGUUGUACUACUGUAAUAUCGACAAUCCCUCCAUAAUUGUAAGUACCCCUCUUGGUUUUCUAUCAUGGCUACUAAACAGCUAUUUGCUUUGAAU